ACUGAUCAAUAUUGUCCCUAUCGGAAUGUGCCUGCUGUCAUCACCACAGCCAGCCAAAAGGAAGUCAGAAUUAUAGCAGUGCAGGGAAGGACCAGGGGGCAGAGCCAGAAGUGUCAUGGGAGUGAGCAAGACUGGCCUAAUGGGCAAAGCCUGACACCAGCAGGAAGAGUGAUAGUCCGGGGAGGUAGGCUGGUGGCACCUGGGAAGUCUGGGGCCUCAAAUGGCCAGGUAGGGAUCAUCUCAAAUGAUGGAGGCCCCAGGGAGUCAGCACCCCAGAACCCAAGAGGGCUGGGGCCUUGGCUUGGCAGAAUAAUUGUACA
rnacentral:lncRNA from 10 species